rnacentral:rRNA from 1 species
UACAGAGGUCCCAAGCGUUGUUCGGAUUCAUUGGGCGUAAAGGGUGCGUAGGCGGCGCGGGAAGUCGGGUGUGAAAUCUCGGAGCUUAACUCCGAAACUGCAUUCGAUACUGCCGUGCUUGAGGACUGGAGAGGAGACUGGAAUUUACGGUGUAGCGGUGAAAUGCGUAGAUAUCGUAAGGAAGACCAAUGGCGAAGGCAGCUCGCUGGGACGGUACUGACGCUGAGGCGCGAAAGCGUGGGGAGCAAACAGG